GUCUAUCCAGUCCUUGUGUCUAUCCAGGAGCAGUCCCUGUGUCUAUCCAGUCCCUGUGCCCAUCCAGUCCCUGUGUCUAUCCAGUCCCUGUGUCUAUCCAGUCCCUGUGUCUAUCCAGUCCCUGUGCCCAUCCAGUCCCUGUGUCCAUCCAGUCCCUGUGUCCAUCCAGUCCCUGUGUCUAUCCAGGAGCAGUCCCUGUGCCCAUCCAGUCCCUGUGCCCAUCCAGUCCCUGUGCCCAUCCAGUCCCUGUGCCCAUCCAGUCCCUGUGCCCAUCCAGUCCCUGUGUCUAUCCAGUCCCUGUGUCUAUCCAGUCCCUGUGCCCAUCCAGUCCCUGUUUGAAUCAACGGCCCUGUAGAGGACACUGUGAUGUCAUAUGA
rnacentral:lncRNA from 1 species